CAGUAGCCGCGGUAAUACGUAGGUGGCAAGCGUUGUCCGGAAUUAUUGGGCGUAAAGGGCUCGCAGGCGGUUUCUUAAGUCUGAUGUGAAAGCCCCCGGCUCAACCGGGGAGGGUCAUUGGAAACUGGGAAACUUGAGUGCAGAAGAGGAGAGUGGAAUUCCACGUGUAGCGGUGAAAUGCGUAGUGAUGUGGAGGAACACCAGUGGCGAAGGCGACUCUCUGGUCUGUAACUGACGCUGAGGAGCGAAAGCGUGGGGAGCGAACAGGAUUAGAUACCCCCGUAGUCCCUGUCUCUUAUAC
rnacentral:rRNA from 1 species